ACGAAGGUGCUUCCAGCAGCAGCGAACGACGCGCCACCCUUUCCUAUAUCUCAUCCGCCGCCGCUGCCGCCGCCGCAUGGGCUCAAUGCCGUCACUGCCGCUGGACUCGACACCACCUCCGCCGCCUGGACUAGACCGGUGACGGCUCUCCCCAGCAUCCUCUCCUCCAGACGGCAGGACCAGAUUGGAUAAUGCCAAAAGCCCGAAAGGCCUGCGGUGGACAUUGUCAUUACCUGAAGAUAGCUGACUGAAUAUUGUGACAUCUCUUGGAACAUCAAACCGUGGGUGCAUGCUUUUGUGGCAUCUCAUGGAAAUUUACUAGGUGUAUUGUACGCAGUUUUUGCGAGCUCUCCCCAGGUUUACAAUGAGUCUGCUGUGGGUGGCUUGCAGAUCUUGUGUUUAGCUGCUCACUUGAUUGAAUACUAGCACUGCUGCUGCUUUCUACCCAAUACUCAUGAAUGAUUUCUGCUUGGCUGCUUGUUGUUCCCAGUCAAUUAGCAAUUUUAGAAUUAAAUUAGUUGGGCACGCAAUUGAUUUAGCGCAAAUCAUCGUUGUAUGUGUCUUUCUAGUUCGUCUAGUGAUAGUAAUUUGCCACAGAUUCGGUCUAGCCUAGCACAUAUAUUUCAGGAAUGUUAGUAUCACAGAUUCAGUGUAGCCUAGCACAUAUCUUUCAAAUAUGCAAGUAUCAUAGAUUCAGGCUAGCCUAGUGCAUACACCUCUCAGGAACAUAAGUAUCUUGCAGAAAGUUGUAUCAUUACUUUGAGUUCCUUUGAUAAGUUUACUCUUCUACUCGAUAUACUUACGUACUCAUGUCAUUCCAUGAAUUAAUGCAGAGGCAGUGUUGGAGAAGAUGGCGUCCCAGAUUUGGUAGUAGAGAUUGUGAAGAGCAAUAUGGAUAUCUACCUUACUGAGAGGGAAUGUAGGUGUAAUACAUAGUGCUUAUUAUGGUAAGGGUUCUACAGGCCGUACAACAUUUGAUGUAAGAUCAUUUCAGCAGUAGAUUGUAAUGAUGGCUACUGGUUUCUAGGUAUAUGUUUAUGUAGUCAUCUGGACAUGCUCGCUGAUUAUUCCUAUAGAGUGUGAUAUAUUCUUUAUAACUUUUACAUGGAUGAACCUAUUCUGGAUAAUGAGUUAGCAAGGGUUUCUGACUGCAAAAUAAUUGCUGAUGCUUGUGCUUCAGCAUAGUUAAUUGCAUGGACUUCAGCUUUUAUUCAAAAGAAGGAUAAUUGAGUUGCAGUUGAAUUCUCCGGUGGGAUCAAGCAGCAAAUAAAAAUAGAAGAUUUUACUUAGCAAUACAUGUAGUUUGUAGUUUACAGUGAUAGAUUGAAAAUUGUAAUACCAUUCGCAAGAACUCUUUCCUUGGUCGAAUUGAUGCAAAUGCUAUGGUGUAAUAUUUUCCAUAGUUGUGUUCUCUAUAGUCAAAUUGAUAUGAAUGAUAUG